rnacentral:misc_RNA from 1 species
GGCUGAGGAGCUAACUUGGGGUAUAUACAGGAAGAACCUAAAAAGAGCAAUUUCUUGACGCCAUGGCGAAAAGAGGAGUCGAUGACAUUGGUUUGGAUCUGGAGAUUGAUGGCUAUGAAAUCAGCCGGAUAAGUGUUAUUAGCGUGGAUGCCACCAACUUUGGCAGCAGCCAAGAUAACAAAUUCCGGCUUUUCAGUGGAAAAGAAGGACUCAACAUCUGACUGGCGAGUGAGGUCGAACUCAGCAUGGGUGCGGAGGAUGAGCUUAGUGAAGCCAAGGACCUGGAAUUUGCGAACGAUAGCAGAGCCAACUAGACCGCGGUGGCCAGCUACGAAGAUCUUGGACGAUUUGUUGGAGAGGAAAGAAGGUGAAUCAUGGUUAGGGCUGCCCAUUUGUUAGAGGCAAAUCACCGCGGUGAUGGUGGAUGAGUGGAGCUCACAAUUACACACAAAUCCAAAGCAGUCAAUAGUGUUCGAAGGCCAAGUUGCUAAAGGGUGCCUAAAGCCCUUUCGUUUAAAUAGAAGGUAGAAAUCAAGGGGCUUGAGUUAGAGUUAAGCUGAGCCUGCUUCUACAAUCUGGUCCAGCCUCUAUAGAAAGCAGAAAGCUUGCUGCUUUGGGCUGGUCAAAAGUCUUCUCUUUUUUCCCUUCAGGAUUUGCUCUUUCUGUGCUUAGAUCUGAGUAAAAACAGAAUCAAUUUCAGUGAGAAUGGCGGUGCGAUUUGAC